rnacentral:rRNA from 1 species
CGUUCCCCGUUCGGGGGACAGGGUGACAGGUGGUGCAUGGUUUGUCGUCAGCUCGUGCCGUGAGGUGUCGGGUUAAGUCCCAUAACGAGCGCAACCCUUACCGUUAGUUACCAUCAGGUUAAGCUGGGGACUCUAGCGGGACUGCCACCGUAAGGUGAGAGGAAGUGGGGAUGACGUCAAAUCAGCACGGCCCUUAUGUCCAGGGCUACACACGUGUUACAAUGGCCAGUACAAAGGGCAGCUACCGGGUGACCGGAUGCUAAUCUCUAAAGCUGGUCUCAGUUCGGAUCGAAGUCUGCAACCCGACUUCGUGAAGCUGGAUUCGCUAGUAAUCGCGCAUCAGCCAUGGCGCGGUGAAUACGUUCCCGGGCCUU